UGGGGGAAUUUUGGACAAUGGGCGAAAGCCUGAUCCAGCAAUGCCGCGUGUGUGAAGAAGGCCUUCGGGUUGUAAAGCACUUUUGUCCGGAAAGAAAUCCUCUGGGUUAAUACCUCGGGGGGAUGACGGUACCGGAAGAAUAAGCACCGGCUAACUACGUGCCAGCAGCCGCGGUAAUACGUAGGGUGCAAGCGUUAAUCGGAAUUACUGGGCGUAAAGCGUGCGCAGGCGGUUUUGUAAGACGGAUGUGAAAUCCCCGGGCUUAACCUGGGAACUGCAUUCGUGACUGCAAGGCUAGAGUAUGGCAGAGGGGGGUUAGAAUUCCACGUGUAGCAGUGAAAUGCGUAGAGAUGUGGAGGAAUACCGAUGGCGAAGGCAGCCCCCUGGGCCAAUACUGACGCUCAUGCACGAAAGCGUGGGGAGCAAACAGGAUUAGAUACCCUGGUAGUCCACGCCCUAAACGAUGUCAACUAGUUGUUGGGGAUUCAUUUCCUUAGUAACGUAGCUAACGCGUGAAGUUGACCGCCUGGGGGAGUACGGUCGCAAGAUUAAAACUUAAAGGAAUUGACGGGGAUCAUAGCUGUUUCCU
rnacentral:rRNA from 1 species